GAAUCUCCAUUUCUCUCACCUCUCAGCUCUUGAUUACAAUUACUACAGUAAGUGGAGUGAAUCUGUUGAAGAAUGUGGAAGUUGAAAGUAGCAGAAGGAGGGAGUCCAUGGCUGCGGACGACGAACAAUCAUGUAGGUAGGGAAGUAUGGGAGUUUGAAGCAGACUUUGGAUCUCCAGAAGAUCGGGCGCAGAUCGAAAAGUUUCGUGAACACUUCACCAAACAUCGUUUGGAGCAAAAACACAGUGCUGAUCUCCUUAUGCGUUAUCAGUUGUCAAAGGAGAACCAAGGAAUUAGUAUCUUGCCACAAGUCAAAAUUAAUGACAAUGAAGUUAUUACAGAAGAUAAUGUAGCUACCACACUGAGAAGAGCGCUAAGUUUUUAUUCCACUCUACAAAAUAAUGACGGUCACUGGGCUGGAGAUUAUGGAGGCCCGAUGUUUCUAAUGCCUGGCAUGAUUAUUGCUCUAUCUAUUACGGGGGCACUCAAUGCAGUAUUCUCAAGUGAACAUAAACGUGAGAUGAUUCGAUAUCUUUAUAACCAUCAGAAUAGUGAUGGUGGGUGGGGUUUGCAUAUUGAGAGCCACAGCACCAUGUUUGGUUCUGCUUUGAGCUAUGUUACUCUGAGAUUGCUUGGGGAAGGAGCUAAUGAUGGAGAUGGGGCCAUGGAAAAGGGCCGUAAAUGGAUUCUAGAUCAUGGUAGUGCCACAGCCAUUACAUCAUGGGGGAAAAUGUGGCUCUCAGUGCUUGGAGUAUUUGACUGGUCUGGGAACAACCCACUUCCUCCUGAAAUAUGGCUUCUUCCCUAUAUCCUUCCCAUCCAUCCUGGAAGAAUGUGGUGCCAUUGCCGGAUGGUUUAUCUUCCUAUGUGCUACCUUUAUGGUAAACGCUUUGUUG
rnacentral:misc_RNA from 1 species